UUAGGAGAGAGAGAGAUAGAUAGAUAGGAGAUUUAGGAGUGCAAGGACAGGAUAGGAGUAGGAUGGAGCCGGCGAGAAGAGGAGGAUUUCCCCUAUUUGGGAACAUUUCGAUUUGAUAAGCCCUAACAAGGUAAGGUGAACUGAACAUUUGCAUAUGCAUUAGGUUUGCUUAUGAGGAACUGUAUUUUUCACUGUUUCUUAUUUUCUGUAAAGGUGAGGUGUUUAUUGUGCUCCAAGGAGUUGGGGUACAAUAAUAACACCUCAUCCAUGCUAAGGCACUACCGUGCCUUGCAUGAGAAUAUGGAGGAAACUGGAGCUUCACCUAGCCAAGCCACCAGAAAACAGGAGCUGGAUGAAGCUCUAGUCUCCAUGAUAGUGAAGGAUACCCAGCCUUUCACUAUUGUGGAUGACGUUGGAUUCAGGACAUUUGUGUGUAAGCUGGAUCCCAAUUAUGUUCUCCCUACAAGGCAGGCUCUGAAGGCCAUGGUGGAGGCCAAAUAUGAGUCUGCUAAGGAGCACGCAAAGACUAAAGUAGAGAAGGUGGCUGCUGUUAGUCUUACAUCAGAUAUGUGAACAUCCAUCAACAUGGAUGCCUACCUGGCAGUGACAUGCCACUUUGUGGAGGAGAACGAAAAGCUGAGCUCGGUGUUGUUGGGAGUGCAGGCAUUCCCCCAGUCUGACACUGCUGAAAAUAUUGCUUGUGUGAAAGCCUCCCUGAUGGAGGAAUGGGGAAUCUCAGGCAAGGUGACAUGCAUGGUCACCGAUGGCGCUCCUAAUAUGGUGGCAUGUGUGAGAGAGCUGAAGCUUCGCCACCACAUUUGUGUUGCUCACACCCUCAAUCUUGUGAAGAGGGCGCUUCACCAGCACCCUGUGCUCUCUGGCCUCCGGGCCAAAGCAAGGAAGCUAGUUGGCUACUUUAGAAGCAGCACCACUGCUAAGAGAAGCUUACACAAGUGCAGCUUCAGCUGGGCAUGCAAGCAACCAAGCUGAUGCAGGAGGUGAAAACAAGAUGGAACAGCACCUACUUGAUGCUGCAACGUCUGGUGGAGUUGAGGGAGCCAGUAGGAGCAGCAUUGGCUGGAUUACACAGACAUUCCCUUUUUCACUGCCAGUGAGUUUGACAUUGUUGUAGCAUGCCUUUCUUUACUCUCUCCUUUCUAUGACGCCACCACAGAGCUCUCUGCAGAAGACACGUGUCGGCAUCAAAAGUAUUCCCCCUCCUGAAGAUGAUAGAGAAAGCCCUUCAGGAGAAAGACACAAAGUCGGCACCUCCAGUAGCAGUGGAAAUAGGAGAGCAGCUCGUCAGACAGCUCAGGGAGAAGCUGCACAUGCUCCAGUCAAUGAGCAUCUUGUCGCUGGCUACACUCCUGGACCCACGAUUUAAGCUUAUAGCAUUUUUCAGCAACACAAAAGCUGCUGAAGCAGUGAAGCUCUUGACUUCAGAGUGUGCCACCGUCAUCCAACGGAACACAGAAGAGAACACUCAUGAGAUUCCCCAGGCUUCCACCUCUCAAGAAAUCACUAGAGGUAGCAGACUUUGGCAAAGAUUGGACACUAUUGUCAUGGAGGCAAAGAGGACUCAAAAUGUGUCAGCAAAUGCCACCGUAGAGGUCCAGCGCUACCUGUCAGAGGCAAACAUAAGCAGGCUGGAGAACCCCAUGGAGUAUUGAUCUAAUCAUCGGUCACUGUACCCCAAUCUGUACAAACUUGCACUUAUUUAUUUAUGCACCCCGGCAUCAUCUGUGCCA